ensembl:lncRNA
GAGUUCAAUGGCUUUUUAUUUUCAAAAUCCGAUGGCACAGAUUUACUUCCAUAGAAGGGACUCAAACAUUUUGUUGAUGAGAGGGCGUAUUGGUUUCCACCAUAGGUUUCUACAGGAAAAAAUCUGUGUCGGGGUGGGGGAAUCUAGAGCGGUAUGGAAGCGCGCAAUAAUUCUGAGAAUUUAAUCAGCAUUCCAGAUUUCUCAGAAUUCUCUGACACUGCAAAUUAAAGUGCUACUACUAGCUAACUACUUUCAGCGUGACUGGAGAGAACUUCCUUGAAUGAACCUUUAAUGCUAGAUUUGCAUGAACGCUAUGGUGUGAAUUAGUUUGGUUCUCUUUCAUGGAAGCCGGAAGCGAGAGAUUCCUGGGGCUUGCCCCAUGAAUUCAACCCAUGCACACACUCACACGCCACACGUAUUUCUCACACAGAGAAAUUACCAGGAUAGCGCCCACCAAUUUGGGCCGCUAUUUAACAGUGUUACAGGUAGGAAUCAAAUGUGUUUCCCGUACGUAGGGUAGGCCUAACCAUACGUCCUCUUUUGCCCGGUGUUACGUAUUUUAAGAAUCUAAGCUACCCACACAUAGACCCAAUGAAGCAGGACCAAACAUAUAAGCCGUAAAUACUAUACAUAGCCACUAGGGGAGCAAGACCUUAUUGAAGGCGGCUCCACCACAGAAGGCAUCACCUGAAGAAGCCGAAGCCACCACGCCCACUAGGCCACGCCCACUUGACGGUCUCUUACCUGUGCACCAGUGGAGGCUUCUCCAUUGAGGAGAGGGAGGAAGAUCCUCCCUAACAUUGUUGAGAAUAAAAAAUUUAGAUUGCCCCGACUAUUGUAAUGAAUUAAUGCCCUUAAAUAUGACUACUUUAUUGCCUUUUAAUAUAUAAUGUUCGUUUCCCUGGGUAAAGGGACAUUAGCACCCCCUAUCGCCUAUUGACAAUUACUUCAGGGAGGAACGUCCUCCCUCCGCCGCCGUCCACUCCCAUUCAUUUUCCCGAAAGUACUGGCGGCCGGUGGAUAACAUGGGUUUCAAUGGGAGAGAGGAGGAAAAUCCUCCUCUGAGUGGGUGGGACCUUAAGGGGUCUGAUUCGCGCAAAAAUCUAUCCGUCUGCGCUAUGAACCAAUAAGCAGGAUCCCUGGAUGUUGAGCAGCGUUGCCAGAUUGGUCAGAUUUCCCACCCAAUUGGGCUACUUUUAACCAUGUUAGGCUGGAAAAAUUAUCAUUGGGCGGGAAAUCUGCCCAAUCUGGCAACGCUGUCGAUAACAAACCCGGUCUGCAUUGCCGCGGUGCUCAGUCUGAGAGACGCAGAAGUGAAAUCUGCGAUAGCGAUAUCCUAAAUGCACAAUGGAAACAUUGGAAACGGAGGACAUUGUUAACGUCUUAUUACAAAAACCAUUCCAUUCAUUCAGAAAGAGGUAGACCACUUCCCAAAAUCAAGGUCAUCAGAAGUAAUGGCAACGUCAUUGUUGUGAGUGCUACAUGGUUUGCUAGGUACGCAUGACUUACUGGUAGCAUUACAAGCAAUUGUAACUGAAAAUAAACAUAGCUAAAUAACUUCAGUCAGUGAGGGCAAAAAUAGGCCCAAUAAUAGGCCCAGAUUUUUUUAUUUACUUUUACAAAUCAAUAGUAGGCCUGAUUUGACUAAUAUGCUUUGCAUCCUUUCCUUCUCAAAUUACAGUGAUGCCACUGGUGGCUUUGUAUACAUUUUGUUCACAUAACUCCCUCCCUGCUAUUUUGUAGUUCACCAAAACACCCUGAAACAACUUGAGUCUCACAUUCUUAUGCCACCAUACACCAACAGUGCAAGCAGGCCAAUGGCAACCAAGCGCGCAGUCCUUCCUCCCUCACUUUAAAAACCACCAGCCGCCACUGCUGUGCACACUAGGUGAAGGGGCCAGAGAUUUUUCAGCGACACCCGCGAAGGGUCACGGGCCUCUGCCCGUGGCCCAUAGUAGCUAGAGUUAAUAUCUCUCACACGUGUUCUACACAAUUCCUAGACUUUCGUUCCAUAGCCAGUUACCAUGCCGAAACAUGCCGACGACUUUAUAAUAAAUGAAGUGAGUUAAAGCAACCCGGGAUUGCACAACUUUCUUCGAGAAUAUGCAACAUAUUUGGUGACCCACGACGUUUGGAAGGAAGUCCCGAGAAUCCCGGCGGGCGCGACGCUAAAACAACUUCAACAGGCCACACACGUCUGAAGAAAUAGCAGUAUGUGCAGUAACGAAUGCCUAACACUCAGACAUUAUGUUUUUCAAGGUUGCUGGGCCCUUCUGUCUGUUUUCAUGCGUUUUGUGUAUCAAAACAGGAGUGCAAUAGACACGGGUUGUGUCAUGCACAUUGAUAGGGAACCAGGAUUGUUCAAAUACACUAGGUGAAGGCAGUGGCGGAGCCAGGAAAUUUCCAUUGGGGUGGCCAGGAUGGGGCCAGUGAUAAUUUUUGGGUGGCAAGCAUGUGUCUCACAAGGAGAUGCAGAGCUAUUUAAGACACAUACAGCAAACAUCUCAACAUUAUUCGGAAUUCAGAUGAAGGUGCAAUAGAAAAGUAUUCAAUAUAUUUAAAUUGUUCUUAUA